UUGAUGCAGCCAGAAGCAGCCUCCUGGAGCACCAAGGACGAGCACAACAUCAGGACCAUGAAAUCCAGACAGAAGUACCAUGAUGAAGCUGCAUUGAAGAAACAGACCUGAAAGAAAUGCCACAUCCUAGCAGCUUUGAACUGAGAUGAGAGACAAAAUUCAAAAACAGAUGGGGUCUGAAUUUGGCAGCUGAAACUUGCAUCUGUUAAUCAGCCACAAUCUACCAUUACAAGGGACUAGAGCUCUGCUUUGGUGCCUCUCAGGAAACCUUGACACCAGCAAGGUCACCUCUUCAAAGCCAGCUUCCUUCCUCCUCCUUGAGCUGGUCACACUCCUGUGAAACUCCAGAAUACAGCAAGCAAAAGAAGUUGAAGAAGAAUAGAAGA